CCUAUUACUAUAAAUCACCACCACCUCCAUCGCCAUCACCUCCACCUCCAUAUUACUACAAGUCUCCACCACCGCCAUCUCCAUCACCGCCACCACCCUAUUACUACAAGUCUCCUCUUUCACCGUCGCCUUCUCCUCCACCUCCAUACUAUUACCACUCUCCACCCCCUCCAGUAAAGUCUCCUCCUCCUGCCUAUUACUACAGCUCACCUCCUCCACCCGUGAAAUCACCACCUCCACCAGUAUACAUUUAUGCUUCUCCGCCACCUCCAAUCCACUACUAAGUAUUUCUAAGAGCUCAGCCAUUCUCCACAAUCAAUCA
rnacentral:lncRNA from 1 species